rnacentral:rRNA from 1 species
UCUGCAACCCGACUCCAUGGAGCUGGAUUCGCUAGUAAUCGCGCAUCAGCCACGGCGCGGUGAAUACGUUCCCGGGCCUUGUACACACCGCCCGUCAAGCCAUGGAAGCCGGGAGUGCCUGAAGUACGCGACCGCAAGGAGCGUCCUAAGGUAAAACCGGUGACUGGGGCUAAGUCGUAACAAGGUACC